rnacentral:rRNA from 1 species
AGCGAACGCUGGCGGCAGGCCUAACACAUGCAAGUCGAACGGGCUCUUCGGAGCUAGUGGCGGACGGGUGAGUAACACGUGGGAACGUGCCUUUAGGUUCGGAAUAAGCCCGGGAAACUGGGUCUAAUACCGAAUGUGCCCUUCGGGGGAAAGAUUUAUCGCCUUUAGAGCGGCCCGCGUCUGAUUAGCUAGUUGGUGAAGUAAUGGCUCACCAAGGCGACGAUCAGUAGCUGGUCUGAGAGGAUGACCAGCCACAUUGGGACGGAGACACGGCCCAAACUCCUACGGGAGGCAGCAGUGGGGAAUCUUGCGCAAUGGGCGAAGCCGGACGCAGCCAUGCCGCGUGGAUGAUGAAGGUCUUAGGAUUGUAAAAUCCUUUCACCGGUGAAGAUAAUGACUGUAGCCGGAGAAGAAGCCCCGGCUAACUUCGUGCCAGCCGCCGCGGUAAAAC